AUUGAACGCUGGCGGCAGGCCUAACACAUGCAAGUCGAGCGAGCGGCGGACGGGUGAGUAAUGUAUGGGGACUGCCCGAUAGAGGGGGAUAACUACUGGAAACGGUGGCUAAUACCGCAUACUAUCGGAUAACCCAUAUGGGAUUAGCUAGUAGGUGGGGUAAAGGCUCACCUAGGCGACGAUCUCUAGCUGGUCUGAGAGGAUGAUCAGCCACACUGGGACUGAGACACGGCCCAGACUCCUACGGAGGCAGCAGUGGGGGAUUUUGCACAAUGGGCGCAAGCCUGAUGCAGCGACGCCGCGUGAGGGAUGAAGGCCUUCGGGUUGUAAACCUCUUUCGCUGGGUUGAUUUGAACUGGUAAAGAAGUACCGGCUAACUACGUGCCAGCAGCCGCGGUAAUUC
rnacentral:rRNA from 1 species